AAAGGCAGUUGUUAAGUUCGGGUUUUAAAUUGACGUAAAUCAAAACAUGGGAAAGGUUAUCUUAGACAAACACAAAACAUAAAUCUUAGCUCUUGGCACGAAGAAUGCGGGUCUGGUCCGAAGAAGACGGAGAACUGGAACAAUCGGAUGACUCUGAAGAAUCGGAAGAAAUUAAACGUAAUGGGGACGAUACUGGUCUCGUACAGUUGGCGGUACUUUUGUAUACGUAUACAAAAAAAACCCUAUAAAGUUAUGGUUAAAAUAAAAUUAUAUUAUUACAUUGGCAAUUUCGCUUACCUCAAUUCAGAGGGUUUCACACGUAAUUUGGAUGCAGCGCAAAGAAACGGAUGUCGUACAACUGAAUAAUCCCCAAAAUGGGCAAUGGAAUAAAUUUGCUUCAAAACAGCAAUCCAAAAAACGUAAAGCAACACUCUACUGCAG